UCAGUAACGGCGAGUGAAGCGGUAACAGCUCAAAUUUGAAAUCUGGCUCUUUCAGGGUCCGAGUUGUAAUUUGUAGACGAUGCUUUGGGUGUGGUGCCGGUCUAAGUUCCUUGGAACAGGACGUCAUAGAGGGUGAGAAUCCCGUAUGUGAUCGGUCGCCUUCGCCCGUGUAAAGCUCGUUCGACGAGUCGAGUUGUUUGGGAAUGCAGCUCAAAAUGGGUGGUAAAUUUCAUCUAAAGCUAAAUAUUGGCCAGAGACCGAUAGCGCACAAGUAGAGUGAUCGAAAGAUGAAAAGCACUUUGGAAAGAGAGUUAAACAGUACGUGAAAUUGUUGAAAGGGAAGCGCUUGCAACCAGACUUGGGCUGUCGCAAUCAUCCGGGGCUCGCCCCGGUGCACUUGUGGCGGCACAGGCCAGCAUCAGUUUCGGUGGUGGGAUAAAGGCCUUGGGAAUGUAGCUUCUUUCGGGGAGUGUUAUAGCCCUCGGUGCAAUGCCGCCUACCGGGACUGAGGAACGCGCUUCGGCGAGGAUGC
rnacentral:rRNA from 1 species